rnacentral:rRNA from 1 species
AACGAACGCUGGCGGCAUGCCUAACACAUGCAAGUCGAACGAAGCCUUCGGGCUUAGUGGCGCACGGGUGCGUAACGCGUGGGAAUCUGCCCCUUGCUUCGGAAUAACAGUUAGAAAUGACUGCUAAUACCGGAUGAAGUCUUCGGACCAAAGAUUUAUCGGCAAGGGAUGAGCCCGCGUAGGAUUAGGUAGUUGGUGGGGUAAAGGCCUACCAAGCCGACGAUCCUUAGCUGGUCUGAGAGGAUGAUCAGCCACACUGGGACUGAGACACGGCCCAGACUCCUACGGGAGGCAACAGUGGGGAAUAUUGGACAAUGGACGCAAGUCUGAUCCAGCAAUGCCGCGUGAGUGAUGAAGGCCUUAGGGUUGUAAAGCUCUUUUACCAGGGAUGAUAAUGACAGUACCUGGAGAAUAAGCUCCGGCUAACUCCGUG